rnacentral:lncRNA from 10 species
UUAAGUAACCAGUGAAAUGUAGAGUAAUUUUAGAAAUGGUUUAGAAAGUACUUUUCAGUUUUGGAGCCUUCUAGUAACAGUAGUAGGUUUUUUUCCCCCUUUUCCCACCAAAAGUCUCAUAGUGCUGACUAAAAGGAGGCAUAAGUUUUUGAGGGAAGACUAACUUAAGAAGUAACUCACUGAAGAAAACAUUAAAAGGUAAACUGUGGCAUAUAAAAUUUUAAGGUAUUUGUUUGAGUGAACAGCAAUUCAUGAGUUGUACAGCUCCAGGCCAGAAGUAGUUUGGAGGUCCUGUUGAGAGAACGCACUCAAAUUUCUACACGUUUGUAGACACUAAGCCAAA